rnacentral:rRNA from 1 species
ACAUUGCCCGGAGAUGGAUUCUGAGACACGAAUCCAGACCCUACGGGGUGCAGCAGGCGCGAAAACUUGGCAAUGCGAGCAAUCGUGACCAGGGAACUCCAAGUGCGUAGGGUAAGACCUACGCUUUUCUUGACUCUUCAAAGGUCUUGGAAUAAGGGGUGGGUAAGGACGGUGCCAGCCGCCGCGGUAAUACCGGCGCCUCAAGUGGUAGUCGCUUUUAUUGGGCCUAAAACGUCCGUAGCCGGUCUGGUGCAUUCGUGGGUAAAUCAACCCGCUCAACGGGUUGAAUUCUGCGAGCACGGCCAGACUUGGGACCGGGAGAGGUGUGGGGUACUCUCAGGGUAGGGGUAAAAUCCUGUCAUCCUGAGAGGACCACCUGUUGCGAAGGCGCCACACUAGAACGGAUCCGACGGUCAGGGACGAAACCUAGGGGCACGAACCGGAUUAGAUACCCGGGUAGUCCUAGGUGUAAACGCUGUGGACUUGAUGUUGGGGGCGCUCCGAGCGCUUUCAGUGUCGAAGCGAAGGUGAUAAGUCCACUGCCUGGGGAGUACGGUCGCAAGGCUGAAACUUAAAGGAAUUGGCGGGGGAGCACUGCAACCUGAGGAUUGUGCGGUUUAAUUGGACUCAACGCCGGGA